rnacentral:rRNA from 1 species
GACGAACGCUGGCGGCGUGCUUAACACAUGCAAGUCGAACGGAACUGUUUGAAUGAAGUUUUCGGAUGGAUUUUAAACAGUUUAGUGGCGGACGGGUGAGUAACGCGUGGGUAACCUGCCUCGCACUGGGGGAUAACAGUUAGAAAUAGCUGCUAAUACCGCAUAAGCGCACAGCUCCGCAUGGAGCAGUGUGAAAAACUCCGGUGGUGUGAGAUGGACCCGCGUCUGAUUAGCCAGUUGGCGGGGUAACGGCCCACCAAAGCGACGAUCCAUAGCCGGCCUGAGAGGGUGAACGGCCACAUUGGGACUGAGACACGGCCCAG